UUUAGCUAACUACAAUCUAAUUAUAAAGUUGGCAUUUGAAAAAUAUAGUACUUUAUCUUUUUACCCACUCCCCCAAUUUUUUUCAGGAGUGGUUGAAGUGUCAGGACUUGAGAAAACUUGAAGAUCUCCAAACAAAGGAAGUCGGUGGUACAGCUGUCUGGAACUGCAAACCGGGCUGGAAGGUGAUGGACUGGACCACCGGAUGACACGAGCAUCCAUUUCCCCUCUUCCAAGCAGCGAUAGGAUGCUGCUUGUAUUUCAGUAAGUUAAAUAGAAAGGAGAGUCGGGACCAUCUCCCCAGCUGCCACCUGUCUAGCCACACUGUCCCCUGAAGGCCCUUUCUUUUGAAAGGGAAGCAACCACUUCCAUGAACCAGCCCUGGGGCAAAAAAGUCCACCUUCUCUCUCAAGAGCUCACAGACCCUCGUCUCCAUUGGUCAAAGGAGGUCUGGACUUUCUUCAUCUAUCAUGGGAGCCUUGCUUCCAAGGUUUGCUGAGGAUACAUCCUCCAGCUCAUCAGCCCUGUUCAUCUUUCUUUGAAAGAACUCAGUUACACGUGCUGCUGUGCAGAAGUCUGAACACUCAGGGGUUGGUUUUCUGCUUUCCACAUUUAAGUGGGUUCCAGGGGUUGAACUCAGGGUGGGAGGCUUUCAAAGCAAGUGCCUUUACCCACUGAGCCAUCUUCCAGCCAGAAAUUUACUUAUUAAAUCCAUAGUAACUCUGAGCUAAGACACCCUGAAGGGCACACACAGAUGCACUCUUUCUCAAGGGACUGUUUUCUUUUGUUCUGUGUCCCUGCAAGUGACAUUCGGAGGAGGGAGAUGAUACAACGGACUGAUGCUGGUCGUCCUAAGAGCAAGAUGGCAUUCCUCCUCACUCCGAGAAAAGAAGAAAAGAAAUUUUAAGAUAAGCCCCUCCAGGGGCUUGCCACUGUCCCUGUGCCUGAGCUAUGGAGAAAAGCCACCCAGGCAGAGUCAGCCCACCUAUUUUAUGAUAGCCUACAUUUACCUUGGAAAGCCCUCUGUGGCCCUCUCGGUGGAAAGUCUCCCGCCACGGAAUCAAGACAUGUUCAAGUCUUCAUCUGGGGCAUGCAAAAAACCGAGAGUGCACAGCACCUUAUAUCACCAUGAAAGCUAGCCAGCAGGGAUGAAGCUUCCAGUGAAUCAAAACGUCAUCAGAUGAUACUAAUCCUUCAACGACACUGGUGGCAGAUGUGAGUACCAACAGGCUCCGGCAGCCCUGCCCCUAUAGUCUAACGGAUGCAGCCCUCAUGGGCAGCCCUGCCCCUACAGUCUAGCUGGAUGCAGCCCUCAUGGUGUCUCUGGUCUCUCUGCUGGACUGGUCCUUCUCACUGCCUGCAGCUUUACUGUCAGACAUUCUGUUUUCCAUGUUCCUGGCAUCUCCUUGUUUCUCAGGUCUCCAAGGCGUCUUUCAGGGCUUCAUGCAUCACUGCCUUAGGGGGAUGUUUAUGGAAUCUGACUCUGCUCCACAUUGUUUGGCCUCUCAGGGGCUUUCCUUAGAAAGCUGAUGUGGAUGAUGUCAUGGGCUGCAGCUGGGUUGGCAGGUAGGUGGUCUAACAUCUCAUCUCUAACAGCUUCUGAGUGUCUGGGUGGCUGAACCUGGGCAAACACUUUUCCAGAGCUCCCUCCUUCCCACAGGUGCUAAUACUCGAAGAAAAGUCUUUCUAUUGAGUUUACAAUACUCCCUUCAGCACUUCCCAAUAUAGUACCACCAGAUGGACCAAGGCCUCAACAUAUGAGCCGUAGAAGACUUUCCACAUGUAUAAUAGCGAUGAAUAUGCACAGUACAUCUCCUGGAGAUGCCUGCAGACUGUGUGUAGAGGAUGCAGCAUCUACAGGAGAGAGAGGAUUAGAUGUUUAAAGGAAGACACCACACAGGGUUAGUACAAAAUACUAGGGCUAUGUCGCCAAACCCUGUGGCCAGCAUGGAUGCACACUUACCCAUCUGAAGACGACUUAGUUCAGCUAGAUGGCACUUUGUCAGGAGCAAGUGGGAACUCGAAGUUUCAAAGAGCUCUCUAGCUGCUGCCUUGUGUAACAUGAUAUGCAGACAGCCAGCUGCCCAGGAAGAUGGGCUCAGUGGGGACCAAUAUUGGCUUGGUUGUAGAUGUAACCGUCUUAUUAAAUAAGAAACACAGAGCCAAUGCAGAGAUGAAAGCCCAAGAGGUCAGAGCAAUAGCUAAGAGCUAAAAACCUUACCCCUUCACUGCCGCUGCUGUCCUCCUCAGCAAGAGACCUACUUCCUGUGUGUUUGUCUUUAUAUAGACUUUCUGUUCUGCCUUCUCAUUGGUUGUAAACCCAACCACAUGACCUCCUCGUCACUGCCUGUCUGUACAGACCUCCAGGUUUUCUAUGGUUGGUAUUGAGAUUAAAGGCAUGUGUCUCCAUGCUGGCUAUAUCCUUGAACACACAGAGAUCCGCCUAGCUCUGCCUCCCAAGAGCUGGGAUUAAAGGCAUGCACCACCACCGCCCAGCUUCUGCUAUGGCUUGCUAUAAGCUCUGACCCCAGGCAACUUUAUUUAUUAACAUGCAAAUAAAAUCACAUUUCAGUACAAAUAAAAUAUCAUCAUACUUGGUGGUAUAGAUGGAAGUUUGGCUUUAAAUUUCUUGCUAAGGAGUUGUGUACAGCUAGGUGGCAGAGAUUUUUAUUUUUCAUAGAGACUUAUUUUUCUUGUUAUUUAGAAUAGUCCUUUGUGGGAUGGAGAGUUGGCUCAGUGGUUAAGAGCCUUUGUUCUUGCAGAGGACCCAGGUUUUAUUCCCAGCAUCCACAUGGUGACUCACAACUAUCCAUAACUCCAGUUCCAAGGGAUCUGAUGCCAUCCUGUGACUUCUACAGGUACCAAGCAUGGAUGUGGUGCAUAGACACAUGUGCAUGCAGAACAGUCAUAUACAUAUAAUAAAACAAAAUAAAUAAAUCCAAAAAAGUAGUCAUUUGUAUGAUACAAAGCUUAACUUUGAGGUCAAGCAGUGUAAAAGCAAGCAUACAGUAUUAGACUACGGAGGAAUGAAAAAAAGACAGAAACUCAUGACUAAUUAUCUGUGGUCAAGCAUUACCCAGAGUAUUCUUCUCAUUUGAAUACAUUAAUUCAUUUUCUUCCUUCACUCAACUACUCCAUAUGGAAUGUCUGUAUUAAUGAACACUUGUUAAAGUAGGAACUCAGCAAAAAGCUAGAGACUGUGUAUCACAGGAGAGUAAAUGAAUAGAAACAGCUCAGCACAAGGGGCAUCAAGAUCAUGAUGGGGGAACGCACAGAGACAACCAAACCAAACUAGUGGGAACUCAUGAACUGUGGACCAAUAGCUGUGGAGCCUCCAUGGGACUGGACUAGGCCCUCUGCAUAGGCAAGGCAGUUGUAUAGCUUGACCUGUGUAAGGGGCCCCUGGCAGUGGGAUCAGGAUCCAUCCCUGGUGCAUGAUCAGGCUUUUUGGAGCCCAGUGCCUAUGGUGAGACACCUUACACAGCAACCUUGGUGCAGGAAGGAGGAGCUUGGACCUGCCUCAACUGAAUGUACCAGGCUCUGCUGACUCCUCAUGGGAGGC